rnacentral:rRNA from 1 species
UUGGGCGUAAAGCGCGCGCAGGCGGUUCCUUAAGUCUGAUGUGAAAGCCCCCGGCUCAACCGGGGAGGGUCAUUGGAAACUGGGGAACUGAGUGCAGAAGAGAAGAGUGGAAUUCCACGUGUAGCGGUGAAAUGCGUAGAGAUGUGGAGGAACACCAGUGGCGAAGGCGACUCUUUGGUCUGUAACUGACGCUGAGGCGCGAAAGCGUGGGGAGCAAACAGGAUUAGAUAUCCUGGUAGUCCACGCCGUAAACGAUGAGUGCUAAGUGUUAGAGGGUUUCCGCCCUUUAGUGCUGCAGCAAACGCAUUAAGCACUCCGCCUGGGGAGUACGGCCGCAAGGCUGAAACUCAAAGGAAUUGACGGGGGCCCGCACAAGCGGUGGAGCAUGUGGUUUAAUUCGAAGCAACGCGAAGAACCUUACCAGGUCUUGACAUCUCCUGACAACCCUAGAGAUAGGGCGUUCCCCUUCGGGGGACAGGAUGACAGGUGGUGCAUGGUUGUCGUCAGCUCGUGUCGUGAGAUGUUGGGUUAAGUCCCGCAACGAGCGCAACCCUUGAUCUUAGUUGCCAGCAUUCAGUUGGGCACUCUAAGGUGACUGCCGGUGACAAACCGGAGGAAGGUGGGGAUGACGUCAAAUCAUCAUGCCCCUUAUGACCUGGGCUACACACGUGCUACAAUGGAUGGUACAAAGGGCUGCGAGACCGCGAGGUUAAGCGAAUCCCAUAAAACCAUUCUCAGUUCGGAUUGCAGGCUGCAACUCGCCUGCAUGAAGCCGGAAUCGCUAGUAAUCG